rnacentral:rRNA from 1 species
UGGGGAAUAUUGCACAAUGGGCGCAAGCCUGAUGCAGCCAUGCCGCGUGUAUGAAGAAGGCCUUCGGGUUGUAAAGUACUUUCAGUCGGGAGGAAGGUGUCAAGGUUAAUAACCUUGGCAAUUGACGUUACCGACAGAAGAAGCACCGGCUAACUCCGUGCCAGCAGCCGCGGUAAUACGGAGGGUGCAAGCGUUAAUCGGAAUUACUGGGCGUAAAGCGCACGCAGGCGGUUGAUUGAGUCAGAUGUGAAAUCCCCGGGCUUAACCCGGGAAUUGCAUCUGAUACUGGGCAGCUAGAGUCUUGGAGAGGGGGGUAGAAUUCCAUGUGUGGCGGUGAAAUGCGUAGAGAUGUGGAGGAAUACCGGUGGCGAAGGCGGCCCCCUGGACAAAGACUGACGCUCAGGUGCGAAAGCGUGGGGAGCUAACAG